AGAUUCCCUCAGNAACGGCGAGCGAAGAGGGAUAAGCUCAAAUUUUAAAUCUGUUGGGUUCCACUUAACAGAGUUGUAUUUUGAAGAAACGUUUUCUGCAUCCAGGAUUAGCCUAAAUCCUUUGGGAUAAGGUAUCAUGGAGGGUGAGAAUCCCGUUCAUGGUUAAUCUUAAGGAAGCUCUACGAUACUGUUUUCCAAGAGUCGAGUUGUUUGGGANNGCAGCUCAAAAUGGGAGGUAAAUUUCUCCUAAGGCUAAAUAUUGGCGAGAGACCGAUAGCGAACAAGUACCGUGAGGGAAAGAUGAAAAGAACUUUGAAAAGAGAGUUAAACAGUACGUGAAAUUGUUGAAAGGGAAACGAUUGAAGUCAGUCAUACCAACGGGAAAUCAACCUUUUGAGCUUGAUUUCGUGGGUUUUGAAGAGUUUCAAAGCCUUCGGAUUCGCGAGAUUGGGAUCUCUCGGUGUACUUUCUCGUACGGUUAGUCAACAUCGGUUUUGAAUGUCAUAAAAUGACUGGAGGAAUGUAGCUUCGAUCUCGUAUUGAAGUGUUAUAGCCUUUGGUAGAUGUGAUGUUUGAGACCGAGGAUUGCAACGGAUACCCUUCAGGGCUAUUCGUCUGAUCUCUGAUACGUUGCCUUGAUGUUGAAAGCUUGCUUAUGAUGUUAGGGUAUUACGGUCAAAAGGUUAGAACGAAUUACAUUCGUUAAGGAUGUUGACGUAAGACUUUAAACGA
rnacentral:rRNA from 1 species